CUUGUUCUAGGGAGCACUCACUAGCUGGAGUAGGUCUUCCCAUAACACGAAAGAAUAAUUAGCAGAGUGAGAUUGAGCCAUGCCAUUGGACCACCUGGGGAGGAGGUUAUGUGGAGAGAUUUGCUGCAUUUCUAAAGAAUCUCAGAAAACAAGCUUCAUUUCAGAACCUAAACCAGCAUUUGCUUUUCUUCACUUUGAGGGAGCACACAGGCCUACAGGACCCCGUCUGUGAAAGGGAGAGUCCUCCUACCUCCUCCCCUGUGAAUGGAAAAAGGCUUCAGAAUGGAAGAUGGGCAGGCAGUGGAUAGAUUUCUACUUUCUGAGGGCAGGGCCUGUGUCUCUCCUCCCUGACUUCCCCUAUCUAAAUAACCCAAAUCCAGAAGUAGGAGUCGAUUGGGGGACUCAGGAUAGCCUCCAUAACCCACGGCCUAACCACUGCAGACAGCCCAGGAAGCCAGAGGGAAGGCGUCCUCCUGACUUGUCCUUUGCUCAAUCCUGAACUGAGGGGAGUUGAAGGUGCUUGCGUUAUUAG